rnacentral:tRNA from 2 species
GGGAGCAGCUGGUGACUGGUGUCGCCCCUGGUCUUCAAAACCAGUGGGGGGCGGAAAGACCGUCCCCGGUGGGUUCGAUUCCCACAUGCUCCC